AGGCUAUUCCAUGGAUUCUAUCAGAUCAUCUGCCAAUAGAGAAUGAUUUCAUGCAAGAUCUUUUAAUUUCCAGCUUCGUGAGUACUAUCACCUCUCAGUCCUUUGAAUAGGAGGAAACUGAGGCCCAGAAAAGUUAAGUGAUACCCAAGAAGUUGGUAAGUGGGACACUUGGGAAUUGUUGAUACACAUUUAAUAAACUCUCAGGGUUGAAGAGACUGUAACAUUUCGGUUCCUUAGAUCACUGCUAUAACACACACCCACUGUGGCUAAUGAAAUUUCUGCUUGAA